rnacentral:rRNA from 1 species
GGCGGAGGAUGCAAGUGUUGUCCGGAAUCACUGGGCGUAAAGCGUCUGUAGGUGGUUUAAUAAGUCAACUGUUAAAUCUUGAGGCUCAACCUCAAAAUCGCAGUCGAAACUAUUAGGCUAGAGUAUAGUAGGGGUAAAGGGAAUUUCCAGUGGAGCGGUGAAAUGCGUAGAGAUUGGAAAGAACACCGAUGGCGAAGGCACUUUACUGGGCUAUUACUAACACUCAGAGACGAAAGCUAGGGUAGCAAAUGGG